AGCUCUCAGAGAAACUGAAGGGAGUCACCAAAAACUGGGAAGAUGUACGAGGAGACCAGGUCAAGCCCGACCAAUACACUGAGACCCUGGCCCAGAAGGACAAGCAAGCUGAAAAAGUAGAACGGGGUGUAGAGAGACAGGACAAAGUACAGAUUAGGGCUUGAAGUGCCCCUGACCAGUCGACAGCAACCACAUGGAAUAAUGACUCAUGUGCAUUAAUGAUCACACUAAAUGAUAUUUGUUUUUUACCUAGUCUUUCAACUGACAGCUUAAAGAACUUCAGGUUGUUCUGAUUCUUGAGCCUCCUCUACAGCUUCAGAGAGGACUUUCAUUUUAUUUUGGAUCAAAUGCUCCACAACUAGUUGAAACUGGAAUUAAAUUUUAUAUGAAGUUCCUAGAUGAUUUAAAGCUGUAAGAAGAAGAAUAAUGAAUCAUAAGAAAACUUGCUGCUACAGAUAUCAAAAAGGAAUGUUACCAUCCCUCAUGCUAAUCCUUUUCAUUUUAAAUAAACAGGAUCUAAAAAAAAUAAUGCUGGGAAGUCCUAACCACAUCAAGAAUGCCUCAGAUCAGUGACCCAAGGAACCUUCCAGAAUGGAUGAAAUAGACCCAAAGCUGAAUUCACCUAAUUUUAGGGCCAAAAACCCAAAAAACAAAACAAGACCAAAAAAAUCUUCAGAUACUGGGAGAACAAAUCUCAAUUGCUCAAUUGUAUCUUAUGAAAACAAUUUUUCAAAAUAAAACAAGAGAUAUUUAAGAUUCAUUAAGUUCUUGUCAUUUCAAAUUUUAAGAAAAAUAUUUUCUAAUGGAAUUACAUAUAUUUAUAUGAUUCUUCUAGUUAUAUCCAUGGUAAUAAAUACUCUUUUCAGUUGGAAAUAAAACCCAUUUGUGCUAUAUUAUUAGGGAAAAUAUCUACAUAAAUUAGUUUUUAAUUUAACUAAAGUCUAUCUUUUGAAUUCAUAAGCAUAAAAUUUUAACCACUUGCAAAAUUUAUAACACACUUAAGGUAGUCAGAUGCCUUGUCAAGUAGUUUAACAAAAGUGAUUUUCACCUGUUUGUUUUAAUAACAGUGCAUCGAUUUUAUGAAAAUCAGGCAUGCCCUCGGGUCCUAACAAAGUAUACGAAGCUGAAUGGAUCUAUGCCAAAUAUGCCAGAUUUUACUUUCUGAGUCUGAUUUUAUACUUCUGUCCUCUUUCUUACCACAUGGCUUCCAGUAUCACUUACAGACUAACCCUUCAAAAGGAGAAGGCUAAGUUACUAACAUUUGGAAGGCUUAUGAAAGUGAAGCAUAGUUAUGAGCCAGCAAUGUUUUUAUUUAUGGAAUGUGUGCAAACCACACACUUAAGCAAGCUCUGGGGAAUGAGAGUUGGGGGGAAUCAACUGUUUUAUUUGCUAAUUGGUAUUUCCUUUAAAAGAUAGAGUUCUUCCAGAUUUUAACUGUGUUAAUAGUUACUCUAGAAAAAUUGGAGAUUUGUGUGCAUAUAUUUUAUGUUGUAAACAGACACAUACCCAGAGACACUGAGAGAGACAGACAGACAGUAAACAGAGGAGCACUAACCACAAACGGUUUACAAAUGACCUCUGUGCUCAUUCACCUGUCUGUUCCCCACCUUGCCUUUUAUAGCAACUAUAGCAACAGCCAUGAGAGUCAUUGUGGAAAGAAAUAAAAUAAAAUUAAAAAAUCCUGGAAGCUUGUAAAGAAUGUGAGCAAAGGGGAGGAAGUUGUGAAAAAAAUGAAUAAAGGGCACCGAUCCAGAGUAUUGAAGAAGGCAGAGUGGAGAGCCUAGUAAUGAGUAUCUGGUACCCCAGUAUCCUCUCCCACAGAAUCUGUACAGCUCUCCGUUUAUGACAGUUUAAACUUAAUUUAAAUUAUCAAACAGACACUUUCCUCAAACAUAUAAAUGAUGAGGCAGUUCAUUCAGGCUGUAUGUAUAAAGCUGUUCCAGCCACCUUUUUCUAACGGCUUCUCUGUAUCUUUUACAUGGAGACAAUGAGAGAUUUGCUUAGGACAAUUUGACUGUAAUUUAGAAGUAGGAAAUGGGAAGUAUUUGUAUCUUCUUUGCCUAACUCACAUUAGUUACUCAAGUAAGCAUUUCUUCCGUUAUUGCAUUUUCCUGAUUACAAGUUUUAUGUUUUCUCUAAAACACAUAUCAAAAGAAAUGUCCUAAGCACUAUGCAGGGGGAAGCCAUGACAUUUAUCUACCACUGUCAGCAAAAACAUGAACUUAGCCCUCAACAGAAUAUUUCACUUCAUUCUAGUGUCACCUCUGCAUCACCUGCACUGGAGUCACCACUUGCCUGUUGGGUAAGACCAGGAUGCACCACUGAAAUAAAAAGGGGUCAGACAAUACAAGAAAAGCCAGUAGAAAUUGCCAAAUGUAUCAGAAUACACACAGGCUUUCUAAGGAUAUGGCCCAAGAGGAAGGCUCUAGAGCCCACCCUGAAACAGGAUUUUUGACUUCACAGAUAAAUUAUUUAAUUUUCAAUAACACAAUUCAAUUAAAGAAAGGGAAGUACAAGGCUAAACAAAUAAGAAAUGAAGACAAAAACCCAACCUUUCAAAUCUAAAGAAAAUAAUCUGUUUUAAAGACACAGAUGAAGAUCAGGAACCCAAAACAGAAGAAAGGAAAAGCAAUUAACACUGGCAUCUGAUAACAACGAAAAGUAUGGAGUCUGGAGAAUCGCUAGACUCUAAAAAUUAUAAAGGUUUAGACUUGGGCUUUGUACACUGAAGAAAAGAAAACUGCAUGCAUUUAUACUGACCAAUGUACACUAUUGCUGCUUUUUAACUUUUGUGUAUAUGUAGGGUAGAUUUUUUUUUUAAGUGAAAGCAAGCUUAUUAAGAAAGUAAAAGAAUAAAAAGGUGGCUUCUCCAUAGGCAGAAAACUAGCGUAGUUUUUUUAUUAGAAAUUGUUAUUCAACAAUAGUACAUGUUACAAAUAAAUACCAUUUUAAACUGAAAAAAUUGUAGACUUUCAAAUCAGUUAGAGUGGUCACCCUAAAAAAGGGCAUUUUUUCCCCUUAGUCUCCUUGUUCAUGUUGCUCACAACAAGAAAUGGGCUAAUGCUAUGAAUAAUAAUAACAAACACUGCCUUCUGUCAGGCCCUGUGCUGAAUACCGUCUGCAUAUGUAUAGGAAAGGGUUAACUCAGCAGGUCUUGUUUGCCCAGACUCUGUACAUUUCCAAGAAAGGUCUGCCUUUAGGACUGGUCCUUGGCCAGCUCCUGGAGAAUGAGCUCUCAGCUUUUAGAAAAUUCUAUCUGCUAAGAAUAGUUUUGCAUGUCUCAGGUCUUGGGCCACAAAAUAUCAGUUUAAUCAGAUGGUUUAUGUUAACAACUAUGAUUUAUGGCAAACAUAGAUCUCUAAUCUCCAUUUCUCUCUCAUAUAUCUAUAUUUAUCUAUCCAUAUAUAUGUACCUAUAUAUAUCAAAUAUAAAGAUAUGUUUAUAGCAAUUGUAUAUACGUAGAGAGAUAAUAUGUAGUAUGAAGAGAGACAUAGAUAUUAUUCUUCAUUUUAGAAUGUUAUCUUGGUAUGUUUAAAAGGAAAAACUUAAGAUGUGUUGCAAUUGCAGUAUGAGUUUCAGGUAUGUACAUGUUAUGUGUGUGUGUGAGAGACACACACAAACACAUUUCAAACAUGUUUUAUGUUUAAGCUCAAUAUUCAAACACAGAAAUAUAACAUCUAUUCUUAAUAUGUUUUAUGUAAGUACAGCAGCAGCAUUAUUAAAUACUGUAUUUCUAUGGUGAUUGAAAAUUAGUAGGCAGAGAAUUUUUGUAAUGGUUCUUAAUAAUUUUUGUAAUAGUAAAUGAUUACUUUUUGUUUAGUAUAGUUUUAUAAUCUAUACAUGAAUAAAGUGGAUAUUUUUAUUCAUAUAGAAAUGUGAUUUACUCUCAUGUACUUAUCUACAUGCUAAAACCAUAAGUUAUCAAUUUUAGUUCUGUGCCAAGGCACUUUUACUGAAUAAAAAUAAUCAGCUAAUUUUAUAUUUUCCUGAUUCAAAUUUAUAUGCCUGUGUAAUGUUCCGGGGUUUUUUUUUUUUAAUUUCUGUAAAUCAGAAUAUUCAGAUGUUGAAAAAGUCUUUGCCUUCAGAUUUAAAAGAUACCUUUGAAAUGUAGCAUAUCCCAAAAUGCAACCCAGAGGCUGGCAAUGUCAACAUUUUUCUGUUUUAAAAAACCUCUUAUGAAAACUAUUGCCAUACUAAAUUUUUUACUUGCUGAUGACUUACAGCUGGAAAGGAUUCUGUAUAUAUAAGACAUCAAAUAUUGAGGAUACUGGAACUUUUAAAUUAAUGGCAAAGAAAGUCAACAAAGGAAGUUCAUAUGAAAUCAAACUAGUAAUAUGAUUACAAAAAAAAAAAGUUUAAAAUUUUUCUUGGCCCCAGUCUUAUCAUUUCUGAGCCAAAUACAAUUCUAUCGAAAUCACCUGAAACUGAAAUCACCAUUCUAGGCUGGUUUUCCCAUAAAGAUGGACUGCUCCAAAAAGAGGAAUCAAGAAAGAAUUUGGCUCACAGUGAAUUAUUCACUUUGUCUUAGUUAAGUAAAAAUAAAAUCUGACUGUUAACUACAGAAAUCAUUUCAAAUUCUGUGGUGAUAAUAAAGUAAUGACCGCUUUUCAGCUGGAGGGACUAACUUCUUUUUUUUUUUUGCUGCAUAUAUAGCUGUGGUACAUUUUAAUGUGAAAUGAUGACUGCAUCAGCUUAUAUCCAUGGAGCAGAUUUUAGCAUUCAGCUUGGGUCUCCCAGUCAAUAUCUACGAGUCUCUUCUUAAGGAGAUCGAUGACACAGAUACAUACAGACUAACAAAUGUGAUACCAAUAAUCAAGAAUUCACUCAGUUAAGAUUUUGCCCACUGAUUUCCACACAAGAAACCUAGAAUUUACUAGAUUCUUGUGCCUGUGAGGCUCCACUCAUUUCCCUGAAUCACAAAAGCUACAGAGUAUUUAGAUAGAAAUAUACCUACUCUUAACAUGAACCAGUUUAAAUAUAUGUAUUACUGUGUCCACAGGAGUACACUUUAAAGCAGGGACUUCACUCUUCAAUCUCUCCAAUCACGUGUUACCUAAAGUGGCAUGUGGUUCCCUAAAGCUUAAUAACUGACAUUGCCUUAAAAAAGGGGUUUGCUUCCCGACUAAUGUGGAAAAAGUCUGAAAAAUGAUUUUAAAUCUUUCACUAAAUUUCUCAUUUGGUCACGUGGAGGAAAAUGAUUUCACCAAACAGAUACUCUCAUUAAUUUUUUAAUGUAAUUUAUCAAAGAAAUGAAAUAUUUAGAUAAAUUCCAGGUUUCCCCCACCAUGAGCUUCUCCGAAAGUAUACUCCAUCACAGACUGCUCACUAAGAAGCUUUACUGCAGUCAAAGUGACCGAAUUUAAGGGGACAUAAUGACUACUUCUGCUACACAGAAACAUUAUCCAUCUCUAACACUUCCCUAUGAGACAGAAGACGGACUUCUAAUCAGGUACCAGAGAGGGCUCUGCCAACUUCAGGGCUUUGAUGAAUAAGAAUGGUUGAGAGCGCUCAUCAUAAAUGAAUUCAGUAUAACUGAGUGAGAAAGUGAGAGAACCAGAGAAAUAAAUCCACAUGUAGAAAAUUUAGUGGUGUGAAAUGCCAAAUGCCAGUUAACCAAAGCUUUCUUUGUCAUAAAGCAACUUCUAUAAAAAUUGCUGAAAAUAAAUUCUUCAUGGCUCAAUGUGAAUCAGUAAUUUCCAUUUCUAUUACACUGUUGUUUACCUAAAAACUAUUUUUAAUGACUAAGACUCAGAGUUUGCCAGAGUGUUUUCCACAAAACAACUGUUUUGAGAUACUCCAGAUCUGUAAUCAAGUAAGUCUGAAAAACCCCAAAUACCUCACACACCUCUUGGAUAUGCAUAAAGCACACUAAUAUAUAACGUUCUAAAAAGCCAAUCAUUAAAACUGUUUUAUAUUGUUUAAGCAUUUCCUAGACAUAUUUGGCUACAAAUCUAACAUCUAAUUAAACAGUCUGGGAAAUGCCAUCACAUAAUGUAGGAAUAUUACUAGUCAUUUAAGAAACUAGAAAAUAUUUACUAUAUUCUAGGCAGUUGGCUAGCAGUUGGAGUUCUAGUCUCUAAACAAAAUACUGACUUAUUUCUGUGACUUUUUUCUUUUAAUGUGACAUCACUCUUUUAAGCAGCUCUGUGCUUCACAAUUUUUUUUUUUCCUGGUUUGUUUUCCACUUUUGUCUGUACUUUAUUCCUUCACAGAUGUGAAAGGCUAACAAAUGUAAACUAGUUAUAUUAAUCAGCCUCUGCCUCAGUUCUACACUUCAAAUACAGUAUAUACUCUAUCAACAAUUCUUGGAUAAUAACAACCUGUACUUGUUUUUCAAACAAUAAAACAGGCCGGGCACCGUGGCUGGCUCACGCCCAUAAUCCCAACACUUUGGGAGGCCGAGGCGGGCGGAUCACCUGAGGCCAAUAUGGUGAGUUCGAGACCAACCUGGCCAAUAUGGUGAGUUCUCGUCUCGACUAAAAAUACAAAAUAAUUAGCUGGCCGUGGUGGUGUGUGCCUGUAAUCCCAGUUACUUGAGAGACUGAGACGAGAGAAUCGCUUGAACCCGGGGGGCAGAAGUUGCAGUGAGCCAAGAUCGCACCAACUGCACUCCAGCCUGGGCAACAAGAGCGAAAACUCCACCUUAAAAAUAAAAUAAACAAUAAAACGAUGAAAACACAAAUAACUACAGCACUUCAGAGUUAGUUGACAAAUCCACCUUUUCAAUCUACAUUUCAAAAUGUUCAGAAAGACACCAUCCUAGGGGAAGUCAACCAGCAGCAACCUCUCUGCUAAUUUUUGUACACAGAAACUUGACCUGACUGCACAAAGGUUUCAAUAGAUGUCUCCCUCUAAAAUUAAUAUUGAAUGAUUUGUCAUCUUCCAUUUAAUACCAAAAGGGUAUCAGCCACAAACUGAAAUAUCACUCAUAUGCAAAUAAAUAACAUUCAAGACUUUUAUCGUUGUGGUUAUUAAUCUUGUAAUGGAUGGACAUAAAUCUAUUCACAUUCUCAUCCUAUCCUCAAAUUUCACUAUUCUCUCCUCUCAUUCUUACUUUGUUCUACUCAUAUUCUCACACUAUCCUCCUACGCAUAAAAUAUUAUGUAUCCUAAUGAACAGAGAUACCAUUCGUGGGCAAGGAAAAAACACAAUGAACUGCUCUUUAUAAUAAAAAUCAUGAUCUUGACACAGAUGUUAUCAAUCAAUAAACUUUACACAGCUUUACACUAAAUUAAUACAAACUGCUGAUGAGUGGGUGGGGAGUGGUCACUAAGCAAACAGAAGCAUGCAGGUGUUAGGAAGCACGAGAAACAUAUAUCAGUGGGUAGGGAAGGCAGCUCUCAAAGGCCAAGAAUAUAAGUUUUAGGUCUAUAUGGAAAAAGCUGUGGUCACAUUCGAAGGCUUCUGAACAGAAGAAUGAUUAAUUUCAUGCUUAAAGAGUUCAGGUGUAAAUAAACUGGAUGGAUGAGAAACUCAAAAUCAAGAAUUUUAAGACACUGGGUUAAGGUGAUUGAGCUAAGUCAAAGCCAACAGGGCAUGGGCUAAAUAUUGACAUGGGAUGGGAUGAAGAGGCCAACAAUGUUUCAAAGCAGAGGUUGCCGGAGCUUCAGGAACCAGAAGAGGAAGACUUGAGGUGAAAUCUGAAACUGCAAUCCCCAUACCUGGCUCAAAAGAUGUGAUACUGACUAGGAAAAGGCUGGAGAGAGAAGCUUCUUUUAAAGAGGUAAUAAGGGAUUGUUUUGAUGUGCUGGGUUGAGGUGAAAAUGACAAAUAUUCAGGUGGAAGUGUCCAGCAUUCAAGUAGGAUAACUUGGAACAGAAAGCCCAAAUUAUGUCGUGGUGAAAUGAGGAUAAUGUCUUAUUAAUAAAAACACGUCUUACUAGUCUUUCCUGGGGAACAUGAAAGAUAGAAUUUCAGAAAUUUAGAGAAUGAAAAAGGAAAGAUUACAAGGCAAUAAGUUGAUUAAAAUAGACUAAACUAUUCAGUGGCAGCUAUCUUAAAGCAAGAUAUAUCUUCUACAGCACGAUCUACCCAAAUGCAAAUCUGGGCAGAGAAAUACAAAAUAUUUUUAGGACUGACAAAAUUUCAGCUAUAUGUCUUUUUAAAAAUGCUGCAGAGAGAAAUUUAGAUGGAUUGGACAAAUAUUUGCAUAAGGAUUCCACAGCCAACGUACACAAUUUUCCAACUACUAUGGUUAGCACUGGGCUCAGGCACUACCUUUGCCAACCAGUAGAUUUUCAGUAUUGCCCCUGGCAGACAUCCCAUUAGCAAUCUCUCCCCAUUCCCAAACAUUCUCAACUAUUCUAGUCAUGCCAAUUCAACCAAUGUCUCUUAAGCCUUACAUAAACAUUGACUUACACCGAAAUGUAUCCUAUGGCUCUUACUAACUGUAACUUACUUAAAUCACCCAAGCCUCUGUUUUCCCUGCUAUAAAAUGUAAAAUAGCUGACAAAAUACCUAUUUGUAUUUUUUGGAAACACGGGAUAAAGCAAGGCAAGCAAAAAGAACAGCAGAGACAAUGCUUAAUAAAUAUCCUAGUAGGAUCACCUUAAUCCAUGAAGAAAAUGGAGUUUAAUUUUUUUAAUACAAAAAAACUCAAUGAAGUUAUACUUACGUUAAAUUGGUGGUUAUUUUAGGUCAGUGGUUUUAAAACUCAACAAUGAAACUGUUUUCAAAAAGAGUUGUUAUACAGAACAGAAAAAAGCAGCCACAAUUUUAAAAAAGAUAUGAAGACCCAGAUUCUCACUCAUUCAGCUCCCUUCAUACUCCCUCCCCACAGCCACCUCAGCUCCUGAGGCAGGUUCCCAGGGCUCCAAGGAACAUACUUUUAAAAAAUCAGUAUUUUGAAUAUAUAAUAAGUGAUGUAACUUAAAAGUAUGGUGAGAAAGUCCCAUUGCCAAGAGAAACAUGUUAAUUUUUUAUUUAAAAAAUCAUCACUCUUUUCAUUGUGACAUCUUGAAGAACGCUGAAUGGCUUCAAAAUAACUGCAUAUGCCAAGAUUUCUGGAGUGGGCACGUUUGAUCUUCUUUCAUAAUGAAAACUGACAAACAUUUUUAAGGGCAUAGUAUUGUUUCUUCACUCUCCCCCCCUCCUCACCCCUGCACACACAUACAUUUCUCCUUCCUGGGGAACUCCAAAGAAAACAAAGGCCCUUUAGCAAUCAAGUAGAUUGUCUCUCUUGAUGGCAUCCCAUGAGUUAUGGAAUUACAUACUGCAGGCCCAGGUGGAUUAGGGCCCCUAGAAAGUUUGCUUGAUCAACAGAGUGCUGUUGAUUUUUUCAACUGAAUUAAUUACUCUUGGAGUCCAAACUCUCCAGUGUGCCACAGUCCUCAUCACUUCCUGUAUCUUAAAUAUUGCAUUAUCUGUCCCCUAAAAGUAUUUGAACAUGUGACCCAGAGAAGAGGACUUACAACUUGACUAGGCAACUUCUGUCACACUGGAUUCAUAUGAAAUUCCACUGCAAGUGACAUCACCAGAUUGGGGACCCUGAAGUGUUUGAGUAUCUUCUCCACAUCUGGUCAUUUAGGCUAAGAAAUUCCUUCUUGUCUACCAGGUCUUUUAGCAUUCAUUUUGUAAGUCAUUCAACACCUACUUACUGAGAAGGAAUACUGGGCUAGACAGUGUGCUAGGGGCUGGGGAAACCGCAAUGCAUAGGAGAGAAUUCCCAUCUCCAAGAGGCUCACAGUCAAACAGACAUAAAUAGGUGAUUACAAUACACACUAACAACAUAGUUUUAGAAACAACUAGCAGAAUUAUAUAGACGAAGAUGCCAGGAAAGGCUUCUCAGAGAAUCUGGCUUGGCAAAUAUCUCAACAAAGAGGGCUGAGCAGGGAUGAGCCGAAGGAGAGGAUGGAAAGUAGGUUGUGGGUGAGUUUUCCAGGCAGCAUGUGCAAAGGUCCAGGAGAAAGAGGAAGGAGCCUGUACUUGGAGGAAUAUUCGAUUACUAUUAUCAGUGUCACACUUGCUAUUCAUCUAGACAGAAGCUCCUGAAACAAAAAGGAUACACUUCAAAAGAUGCCAAUAUAUCCAUGACCACACAAAAGAGUGUCUAGUCAUAUAAUAAAGGGUGUACAUAUGCAGGCAACUCACAUCCUGCCAAAUAUUAAAUUUCUAAUUUUAUUAUAAUUUCUAAUAAAACAUUAGAUUUAUUAUUAUACAGAGUCAUACUCCUUGAUUGGGAAACUCUCAACUCAAUAAACAUUCUUUAGUCUCAUGUCUUUUCUAAAGGAAAGAAAUUAAUGUUAUAUUCUUGGGUGAAAAAAAUGUGAGGUCUCAAAAGAGUAUAAUACAAUUUGGGGAUGCAUAUAUAUUUUACAUGUAUAUAGACACAUAAAAAUCUAAAAGCAUAAAUUUUAAUAUGUUAACAGAAGACAGAAGUCAUGUAUUUUUUACUUUCUUCUUUUUGGCAUAUCUCUUUUUCUAACUUUUUUUUUUCUUUUUACAAAAAACAAUUGUUAUUUGUGUACUUUUAAAACCUCACAGUAAUAUUUUCACACUACCUUCUUGGCUGAAAGUUCACACUCGGAAUUCCAGAGCAGUCCAUGGCCAGGCCCACUGGGCUCCCCUUGCUCUCUCCUUGGCUUUGGUAACCACUGGCCCCAGGGACUCAGCCUGCUUUCCUAUCCAUCCCCUCAGUAGCUGUCACCAUGCAGGUUACCCCUUCUGUUUCUUCUACCACUAACUCCAUGUCUGACUGCAAGUGAAAGGAACAGAAGCCCAAACCUUUGGGUUUUAAGGAGUUUAUUGCUAAUCUGUAAAACAGAAAGAGACAGGAGAUAAGCAUGACAAAAUAUAGGGAAGAAAUGACUUUUGCCUAAACUUCCCAAUUGUGUACAAUUGAAGCCUCUGCUUUAUAGCUCUUAGCACACCUCUCAAAUAAGAAGGCAGUACUGGGAAGGCUCUGAACCUGUGGCAGAACCACUGAUAGCUGUGGAGCUAUUCCAAGGAGUCUGGGAAUCAGGGGGAUUAUCAAGAUCAUUGUUAGAAUAAAUUAAUCUUACUGUAUAUAUAGCAGAAGUUUUCAAGCAUAUGUAAAUGCUACUAAUAACCAAAUAAUUACACCUUGUUUUUCUUUAAACUGUAACUCUCAAGUAUGUCUCUACAUAAUUUUUUGAUUGGUAGUGUCUGCAUGCUCAAAAAGCUUGAAAACACUACUGGAGAAGAAGGUCUCGGGAGUGUGAUGAAAUACGUUUACAUGGCAGCUUCAUCAUUUAAUUGGUGAAAGUGACUAUGUGUCUUAAACUCUCUGAGCCUCAGUUUGCACAUCCAAAAGCAAGGAUAUAAUUCCAUGAACCUUUCCACCUCAAGUCCACAAGGCAGAAUAGCAAGAUGUUAACUGCCACUCUGAGGACCACCAAAUAAAAGGACAAUUUAUUAGGCCACUUGCCAGCAUGGACACAAUCGACUCUUGGCAUUUCUUAUUAUCCACAGAAAAAUUAAAAGUAUAAAUAUAGAACAAAAUUAUCGUGUUUUUUUUAAUAGUAACAUGUAAGAUCAAUCUUUGUCUUUAAAAUACCGUGUAUCUCAUUCUCGGAAAGCGUCAAAAUGAAAAUGGUAUAGUAAGUUUUAUCUACAACUUGAAUUAAAAUUAUUCUUGAAAUAUGUUCUGAAUGGUUAGAUGAAAUGGUAAUUAAAUACAAAUAGAGAUAAUCAUAUACUCUCUCUCCAUAAGGCUCCCACCUCCUUCAAUGAAGUCUAGUUCACCUAAAAUGACACUAUUAACAUUAAUUCAAUAUUAUAAGUUGAUAAGCACAUUAAAUCAAAACACAGCAAGAUUAUUUUAAGAGUCUGACUGAAAUGUCAGGAUGAGAAAUAGAUUAAUAAAUAUUGGCUUCUAAUGUCGGUAAUGAAAACAAACACGUUAUUUUCAGAAAAUAAAAGGUCUUCGUCAUUAGGUACAAAUCAUAAAGGGAUUAUCUACGGUUACUACACUGUAACAACUUUUUACAUAUUGUAUUAUAGAACAAGCUUUUGAGAAGACAAAGCAACACAUCAGCAGUUUAACCAAUUGUCUUUCUCUUUUAACAGGCUGGUCUACAUUAGAUUAGAUAUAAAAGGCCCAGGUAUUACUUGUGUUCGAUCUUAGCCACAUGGCUGAGAAACAUCCAGGUACAUUUAAAUCAGUGACAAAAGAAAACAUUAUCCCUUAGUAAAAUUACAUAAAAUAGGAAACAUCUCUUACUUUAAGAGCAACGAUGGUACUUGUUCCUAUGGUGAAAACUGAUGUUAUCUCGAUUAGUUAAUUAUUCAUCCCAACACCUGGUCUUGCUUCCUUUUCCACCUCUAGCUAUGUUAACACUAGAGUUCAGUAAUUUGUUGAUAAAGAAUCUUAACUGCAGUAUCUAACAGAUCUUAGUGAUUAAGCAUAUGACUUACCCUUUGUACAGAUAAGUAAACUGAGGCCAAAAGAACUGAGGUAUCUUAUUAAAAAUCAGAGAGCUAGUUAGUUGAAAAGUCCACCUGUCCUUCCUUUCCACAUGUCUCACCAGAAAAACAGCAAUGGUGAAAAGUCAACUCUGUUUUUAAUGGGCCACUUUGUAUAUUUUAACUGUUAAAAUAAUCCAAGAAGAUAGUAGUCAUAUACGAAGAUCCUUUAGAUAUAAUGUGUAGGACCAGCAUUAAUUUAAUCAACCAAGUCUCCUCUCAUUGAAUUGUUAAUUCAUAAUUACAAAGAUGACAUUACAGUAAAUUAAGAAAUACUGUAAUUUCAUUCUCUCCAAAAAGUAUACAUUGAAGUUUGGUGAAUACUGUUAUAUUUUCAACUAGUAAAUCAGUGUGCCAAUUCUGGGUCUUAGGCAUAUUGUAUAUACUGGAAUGAUAUUCACUUUAAUUAAAUUUGUUUUGAGAUGUAGAAUGUAAUACAGAUCCUACGUGUUUUUAAAAGUUCACAUCAAUUUCAAGCUUUUAAAAAUGUAUGUACACAAGAAAGCUUCUUUUGCAAUUUAUAUGUUUACAAAUGUUGCCAUUAGCUAAGCUAUAUUUUGGAAUGUGAUCAAACAAUAUUGAAUGUCAAGUCUUAACAGCAGGGCUGGUCUAAGGAAUUCCCUCUAAGCUAAAUCUGAUCCUUUCAUAUGUGGCUACUGCUCUUUUAAACUACUGUAUCCCUAAAGGGCUAAAAGGAAGAAAAUCCUAACUUAAUAAGUGAAGGCAGCAAGGCAUAGUAUUUGAAUGGCUACCUUUCAUUUUAACUCUACUUCUUAAAUUCACAAUUGGAUUUGGGUUUGUUUCAAGUUGUUCACAAUUUACUAACGAAAUGUGCAUCUCUCAUUCUUCCCCCAAAAGAAAGAAGUCAUCCACUCCAGCUACAUAUAAGUCUCCAAUUUCUGUCUUACAACUAAACGUGAAAACCGAAAUACCACUCAUUGAAAAAAAAAAUAUACAGAGAAUUGGCAGGCUGCAUGUUUAUGUGAACCUUCAGAAAACAUGGAAACACGCAGCCCCAACUCACCAGGAAAAUCAACACUUGUGAUCAAACUAUUUUGUGACAUUUUAUGUCUUUUAUACAUUUCACUUCAUAUCCAGUAUUCCAGUUUUGCACCGGCUUGCCUGUAUCAACCCCAAAUCGCCUGAGAGCAAUCUAGUACUGUAGCAGAACCGUUUCAACAUGAAGAGUUCUGCUCAUCGCCUGUGGCGUGGUCUUCGAAACACCUGAAUCAAACAUUGAUUCCCCUCCCCCUGCUAUUUAAAACCGAGGGACGUCAGGCUUGGGUUGUAGGUAAAGAAAAGCCACAGUAAUCAAACAAGCAACCAAAAUACCCGAACACGGAACACGCUAAGAACAAAGGAAACACAAGAGUGUGAACAGGAAAUGAAGCAACUCUACACCCAUAAAUACCUUCUGGGGCCGCCAACAUAGGUAAAAGUAAAGGUGGAGUCUGAGUAUCUGAAAUCUGAAACAGAAAGUCCUGUCAAAAGCUACCCCUGGAGUGGAUUUGUUUUAACCCCGAUCAGGACUUGGGCCCUCCAUUUGGUGGAGUCAGGGGAGGCCUGGCCGGGCGGGAGGCGAGGGCUAGAGGGCGGCGAGGUCUCUCCGCGCAGCGUCCCAGGGGAUGCGGCGCGCCCCCGACUGGGUGCAGCGGCAGGCCGCCCCCGGCAGCAAGUGCCGGGUGCCAUGGCAACGGCGGGAAUUUCCCGGUCGGGGAGGCCGGAAGCAGCCCCGCCGGGCUCGCGGCAGCGAACGCAAAAUCCGAUCUCUCUCCCGGGGGAGCAAAAUGGACGAAAGGCGACCCCCCAGGCAGGGGCGCUGGGUGCCUUGGGAAUCCGAGGAAUCCCUUCUCUUUGCCAGUCGGAGGGGACUAGAUGGAGCCGAAGGGGCCGGAGAUGGGCCGAGCGCUGCCCCCCGGGGGUCUUCGGCGCCGGGCGCAGCUUACGAGCGCAGCGCAGCAAGCUCCAUUCCCGGCCGCCGCCGCUCAGCCCAUUACGCAAACCUGGCGGGUCCAACCAACCCCGCUCUGCCGCCGCUGCUGGAACCCAGGAGGCGUGCUUGCAGGCUUCGGGCACUACGCGGGGCUGGAAAUACCACGCACUGCCCCUUCGCCUAGACCCCCGCUCGGGCCACGCGGGUUCUGCCCUCAAAGCUGGUAGCUGCCCCAGACUUGGGGGUGGGGGGAGGGGAAGGGGCGAGGCUGGCACCCCCUCUGGCUUUUGGCUCCCGUGUUCGUUGCAGCAGCUGUUGCCAAAUGAACCCCGGAAUGCGGACGUGCAAACCCUCCACCCCACCCCCAGCCACACACGUCGCGGUCAGAGAACUGGGAAGGGGGCGCGGGGUCCGAGGUUCUGGAAAAGCAAGAACUCACCUGCAAACAGGCAGUCCUCAGCUCUGGACUUCUGGAUCACGACGUCGAUAUCCUUCUGAAUUCGGUCUUGCCUUGAACACAUCCCCAUUAAAUAAGUCCUUGGAAAAGAAGCAGCCGCUAUUUCCACCCCACCCCCCUCGCACGCUUUCAGCUUUCGUAAAUAUUCAGUUAAAAAUGAAACCUCUGGCCGAGGCAGGGGCUGAAGGCCAACUGGUUUCGGAAGUGAUCCUGGGUGAGAGGAGGAGAAGGAGGAGGAGGAGGUGGAGGUCGGCUUUCCAUUUCCAGAUGUGACUGCCCAGCUGCUGCUCGCCGCUGCUGGAUUCCAAUUACCUCCCCUUCUGGCGAUGGAUUGGUGAUGACACCGAGUCUCACUUUCUCCUUCCCCCGCCCGGACCAACCGCCGUGGGGGGCCGAGGGUGCCGGGGACGGCCGGAGAGCGAUCACCGGCUGGGCGGCGGGAGCCGACGAGGGGCGAGCCCCGCUCCGGCUCAAGCGCGCACACCCCUCACGGCCCGCACUCCGGCCUUCCACACCCGUGCACACUCUCGCCCGCGGGCGGCGGCAGCCGUGCCCAGGCUGCUGCAGCGCCACCCGCCCGCCGCGGACCCUCCGCGCCCUCCGCCUAGUCACCCGGCCCGGCCGCGGGCCGCCGGGGCUCGCAGAGUGUCAGCCAUCCCGGGCAGGAGUCGCGUCUCCCCACACCGACCUCCACUCGCGCCGGGAGCUGAGCGGCAGUGUAGGUAGUGAAGACUCCCUGGGGCUCCCAGCCUUCCCUCUCCGCGCUCUCCCCCCAUCACUUUUAUGAAUUCGACUCCACUUUCUAAAGGAAUUAUGAGUCUUGUGGCAAACACAAACCGGAGUGGCCGGGAGGGGGAAAAGGGGGGAAAAGAACACCUUUAAAAAUUAAAAAAAUAAUAAAACGAA